AGCUUUGCACAGGGACAGUAUCAUAGCCAACAAGGUUUGUCCCAGGUACGAUUAUUGCUAAUUGAAAAAAAAGCAAAUUGGAAAUGUUCUUUGUGGUAAUCUCUGAUGAGU
rnacentral:snRNA from 1 species